rnacentral:rRNA from 1 species
GGUCUUUUGAUGAAAAUAUAAGAUUAGGCCUGCCCUAUGAUAAUUAUUAAAUGGCUGCAGUAUUUUGACUGUACAAAGGUAGCAUAAUCAUUUGUCCUUUAAUUGAGGACUGGAAUAAAAGGUUUGAUGAAAAAUAUACUUUCUUUAUUUUAUAGAUAAAAAUUAACUUUUAAGUUAAAAGGCUUAAAUGCUAUUAAGGGACGAGAAGACCCUGUAGAACUUUAUAUUAUAUAUAUAAAUUGGGAUUUGUUAAUAACUUUAAUCUAUAAAAAAUAAUAUUUUGUUGGGGUGAUAAAAAAAAUAGAAUAACUUUUUUUGUGGAUAACAUUCAUAUGUGUUUUAUUGAUCCAGAUAUACUGAAUAAAAGACUAAGUUACCUCAGGGAUAACAGCGUAAUUACUUUGAAGAGUUCAAAUCGAUAAAGUAGUUUGCGACCUCGAUGUUGGAUUAAAAUUAAUAUUGGAUGUAGCAGUUUUAAUAUUAGGUCUGUUCGACUUUUAAAUUUUU